rnacentral:rRNA from 1 species
AAGGGAGCGUAGGCGGCGUGGUAAGUCAGACGUGAAAUCCCGGGGCUCAACCCCGGAACUGCGUCCGAUACUGCCGUGCUUAGAGGAUUGGAGAGGUAGCUGGAAUUCUUGGUGUAGCAGUGAAAUGCGUGGAUAUCAAGAGGAACACUCGUGGCGAAAGCGAGCUACUGGACAACUCCUGACGCUGAGGCUCGAAGGCCAGGGUAGCGAAAGGGAUUAGAUACCCCUGUAGUCCUGGCAGUAAACGGUGCACGCUUGGUGUGAGGGGAAUCGACCCCCCUUGUGCCGGAGCUAACGCGUUAAGCGUGCCGCCUGGGAAGUACGGUCGCAAGACUAAAACUCAAAGAAAUUGACGGGGACCCGCACAAGCGGUGGAGUAUGUGGCUUAAUUCGAUGCAACGCGAAGAACCUUACCUGGGCUUGACAUGCAUCUCUAAGCGCGUGAAAGCGCGUGACCCUUCGGGGGAUUUGCACAGGUGCUGCAUGGCCGUCGUCAGCUCGUGUCGUGAGAUGUUGGGUUAAGUCCCGCAACGAGCGCAACCCUUGUGACUAGUUGCCAGCGCGUAAAGGCGGGAACUCUAGUCAGACUGCCCAGAUCAACUGGGAGGAAGGUGGGGACGACGUCAGGUCAGUAUGGCCCUUACGCCCAGGGCUGCACACGUACUACAAUGCCCAGUACAAUGAGAGCCGAGACCGCGAGGUGGAGGAAAUCUAUAAAACUGGGCCCAGUUCGGAUUGGAGGCUGCAACUCGCCUCCAUGAAGUUGGAAUCGCUAGUAAUGGCGCAUCAUCUACGGCGCCGUGAAUACGUUCCCGGGUCUUGUACACACCGCCCGUCACAUCAUGGAAGCCGGUCGCACCCGAAGUACAUGCACCAACCGCAAGGGGGUAGUGUCCUAAGGUGUAGCUGGUAACUGGGAUGAAGUCGUAACAAGGUAA